GGAAGACAGGUUUCUACCUAGUAUAAGGAAGCCCUUUCUGACAACUAGAGGUCCCCAGAGGGCCCAGGUGAGAAAGUCACCAUCACUGAGGACCUCGGGCUGACACUGGAUCAGUAUCUAGGGGGGCCGCUGCCGAGGUUGGGAGAUUGGGUCCGUGACCCUGAGAUUCAAUGGUUUGGGGCACUUGGUAUAUCCAGAAGCAGGACAAGGCCUAGCAGCUGUUCACCAGCUGCCUUCCAUGUGGCCAUCUUGCAGUUUAUUCCCAGAUGGUCAGACCCCUCACCCUCCGAGGUCACAGGGCCAGCUGCAGGGGAGUGGGCCAGCCCUUCUUCGCUCUGGGAGCCCUCGGGCGGGCAGGACGCAGAGAGGAGGAGAGAGAUGAAGCCGAGAGCCCCUCUGGGAAGAGAGAACCAGCCUUUCACAUUCCAGGGGAACUCAGAGACUGGAGCCCCGGCAGCUACCCCAGCUCUGGGGGGCAAGGCUGGCAGAUGAGGCAGGAGAGUGAGAAAGAACCAGUGAAGGAUACCCUCAAUAUCUGGGGCCCCCAUGGUCAGACCCCAGCCACUAUCCGCUCUCACAAGGACUUCCUACUGGCUUCAGAGAAGACAUGCUCCCACCUCCACCCCACCCCCUCGCCUGACUGCCAGCUGGCCAGCGUGCGAGGCCACAGUUAACAGGCAGCUGGAAGGGAAAACAAAAGGAGUGACUGACGGGCACACACUCACCUGGCUUCCUACACAUCAGCAAGAUAUGUGUUUCUUGCCAAAGAGCAUCCGGGGAUCCCAGAGCCUGUGCACCACUCCUCCCCACCCCCCGGAGCGUCUUCUCUCCUCUUCUUCCCAGGCUAACAUCCUACCAUCUGCUCCCAAGAUGACCGAUAUUGCCCACCUUACUUCCCUGGGGAUGGAUGGGUCCAGGACUCAUCCCUCCCCCAGGUGCUAUAAUUUGAGGCGCUGCCCAGCUGGAAUGGACCCGGGGCCUCCCCAGGCUGCCCUCCCGCCACUGAAGAAAAUAUAACAACUGCUGAAAUCAUUGUUCUUGGACUCCAUCGGAAAGGGCUCUUCUUCCCCACCUCCUUCCUGCCUCCCUCCACGGAAGAGUGCAUUUGCCAGGGCUUCCACCAGGUCUGGGAGACAGACUAGGGGAGGGCAGGAGAGGGGGCUCAUGAGAUCCUAGCUAUAGGGCUAGGACUGAGGAACCAUCACUCUCCUGACCAUGUGAAUGAGGUUGGUUGAAAACAGGGCUCUUUGAGUUUGAGUUUGAAGUUUUAUGAUUUGUUUUUUCUUUUUCUUCCAUGAAGAGUAAGGAUAAGCACCAAGUGGGUGCCCAGCAAAGGUUGGGUGCAAGACCCUGUGAUGCUUUAUUUGGACAUUAUCCACUGCCAGUCCAUCCCCAGAGCUGUGGCCUUGGCUCUCUCCCAGUGAUGAUUUCUGGUUUCCCUUCUCCCCCAGCUGCCUGGGGCAGGCUGAGGAGGAUUCAUAGUGUGGUGUCUAGAGGUUGGGGGGUCAGAAGGAUUCUGGUCCUGGUUAGCUAUGUGACCCUCAGCCAUUCUUUUAAACUUUCAGGGCCUCAGUUACCUUAUAUUUAAGUUUGUUUGUUUGUUUGUUUAAGAGAGAGAAUGUGCUUGCAGAGGCAGAGGAAGAGGGAGACAGACUCCACGCUGGGCCCCCAGGGGCUCAACAUGGGGCUCGAUCCCACGACCCUGAGAUCCUGACCCAAGCCAAAAUCAAGAGUCAGCAGCUCAACCGACUGAGCCACCCAGGUGGCUCACAGUUGCCUUAUAUUUAUCUAUUUAUUUGUUUGUUUUAUUAAAAAUAUACAUUUUUUUUUAAUUUGAGAGAAAGAGAAAGAGAAUAAGCAGGGGGGAGAGGGAGAAGCAGGUUCCCCAUGGAGAAUGGAGCCCAAUAUGGGGCUCAAUCCCUCCCAGGACCCUGGGAUCAUAACCUGAGCCGAAGGCAGAUGCUUCCCCAUCUGAGCCACCCAGGUGCCCCAAUUGCCUUAUAUUUAAAAGCAGUGCUCAACGAUGGUCUUCACACUUCUUUUAUCUAAAGUAAACUUUAUGCCCAACAUGGGGCUCAAACACAUGACACCAAGAUCAAGAGUUGCAUGUUCUACUGACUGAGCCAGCCAGGCACCCUUCUUCAUACUUUUUUUUAAGCAUCUGACUCUUGGUUUCAGCUCAGGUCAUGAUCUCAUGGGUUGUGAGAUCCACCCCCUUGUGGGGCUCUGCGCUCAGUGGAGUCUGCUUAAGACUCUCUGCCUUAAAAAAAAAAAAAAAAAAGGACUCUCUCUCCCUUGGGGAUCCCUGGGGGGCUCAGCCCUUUAGCGCUGCCUUCAGCCCAGGGCAUGAUCCUGGAGUCCUGGGAUUGAGUCCCACAUCAGGCUCCCUGCGUGGAGCCUGCUUCUCCCUCUGCCUGUGUCUCUGCCUUUCUCUCUCUCUGUCUCUCUCAUUCUCUCUCUCUGUGUCUCUCAUGAAUAAAAUAAAAAAAAAAAAAAAAAAAAAAAUAAGA
ensembl:lncRNA